rnacentral:rRNA from 1 species
GAUGAACGCUGGCGGCGUGCUUAACACAUGCAAGUCGAACGGUGAAGCAGGAGCUUGCUCCUGUGGAUCAGUGGCGAACGGGUGAGUAACACGUGAGUAACCUGCCCCAGACUCUGGGAUAAGCGUUGGAAACGACGUCUAAUACCGGAUACGAGACGAGAAGGCAUCUUCAUCGUCUGGAAAGAACUUCGGUCUGGGAUGGACUCGCGGCCUAUCAGGUAGUUGGUGAGGUAACGGCCCACCAAGCCUACGACGGGUAGCCGGCCUGAGAGGGUGACCGGCCACACUGGGACUGAGACACGGCCCAGACUCCUACGGGAGGCAGCAGUGGGGAAUAUUGCACAAUGGGCGCAAGCCUGAUGCAGCAACGCCGCGUGAGGGACGACGGCCUUCGGGUUGUAAACCUCUUUUAGCAGGGAAGAAGCGAAAGUGACGGUACCUGCAGAAAAAGCACCGGCUAACUACG